rnacentral:rRNA from 1 species
AUACGGAGGAUCCGCGCGUUAUCCGGAUUUAUUGGGUUUAAAGGGUGCGUAGGCGGCCUUUUAAGUCAGCGGUGAAAGUCUGUGGCUCAACCAUAGAAUUGCCGUUGAAACUGGGGGGCUUGAGUAUGUUUGAGGCAGGGGGAAUGUGUGGUGUAGCGGCGAAAUGCAUCGAUAGCACGCAGAACCCCUAUUGCGAAGGCAGCCUGCCAAGCCAUGACUGACGCUGAUGCACGAAAGCGUGGGGAUCAAAUAGGAUUAGAUACCCUGGUAGUCCACGCAGUAAACGAUGAUCACUAGCUGUUUGCGAUACACUGUAAGCGGCACAGCGAAAGCGUUAAGUGAUCCACCUGGGGAGUACGCCGGCAACGGUGAAACUCAAAGGAAUUGACGGGG